CUGGCUCAGGAUGAACGCUAGCUACAGGCUUAACACAUGCAAGUCGAGGGGCAGCAUUGGGAUAGCUUGCUAUUCAGAUGGCGACCGGCGCACGGGUGAGUAACGCGUAUCCAACCUUCCUGCCAGUAGGGAACAGCCCGGCGAAAGUCGGAUUAAUGCCCUAUGUUCUUCAAUGCGGACAUCUAAGUUGAAGGAAAGAUUCAUCGCUGGCAGAUGGGGAUGCGUCCGAUUAGCUUGCCGGCGGGGUAACGGCCCACCGGGGCGACGAUCGGUAGGGGUUCUGAGAGGAAGGUCCCCCACACUGGUACUGAGACACGGACCAGACUCCUACGGGAGGCAGCAGUGAGGAAUAUUGGUCAAUGGGCGUAAGCCUGAACCAGCCAAGUAGCGUGCAAGGAUGACGGCCCUACGGGUUGUAAACUGCUUUUAUGCGGGGAUAAAGUGCGGCACGUGUGCCGCUUUGCAGGUACCGCAUGAAUAAGGACCGGCUAAUUCCGUGCCAGCCGCUGC
rnacentral:rRNA from 1 species